AAAGUUUGUCUGGAAGCUGCUGACGGGGUCAACAGAGGCUGAACUCUGAGGAGAUAUGGAAGUUGUGAUUGGACUGUUGCUGAUGCUACUCGGAGUCUCUCAUGGUUUGGAAACCUACUGUGAUGGCAGAAAGAAUAAUGGAACUCAGUGUUAUGGAGCUUUGGGAGGAACUGUUGUCCUCCAGCUGAUGGACAGUGCCUCAGAAAUAUUUAGAUACGAAUUCAAAAACAAAGCAACAUCAGUACUCAGAGGGGGUAAGAACAGGGCAAUGUUUAUUCCGAUGGCAAACAGAUCUUCAUUUACUCCCAGUGAUGGGACAUUUAGGAUCAACAACCUGAGCAGGACUGAUGGAGGUGAAUACAGUCUCAUAAUCUCUUAUUCAAAUGGACGCACAUCAAAGCCACAGACUCUACAGUUGAUCAUUCAAGCUCCUGUGUCCUCUGUCCUGCUGGUCUCUGAGUGUCUGUCCCAGGGUGAGACGAGGGUGUCCUGUUCCUCUGAGGGAGGAGACAGUCCUCAGUACAGCUGGACUCAGGAUGGACACACACUGACAGACACUCAGCUCCUCUCUGGAAAUAAUGAGACUAACAACAUCACUCUGAAACCAGACGUCUCAGGACAACUGGUCUGCUCAGUCAGGAAUCACAUUAGUAGUGUCUCAAAAGAAGCGAGGAAAUGCCUUUUCAUCAACUGCACCUUAACUAAUGGGACAAACAUAUCAGAGUGGGUGCUUGAAGCCAGUGACAUUCAGUGUAUUGAGCCAACCACGAGUAAAGACACUACUGUGGGUGUGGAAACCUACUGUGAUGGCAGAAAGAAUAAUGGAGCUCAGUGUUAUGGAGCUUUGGGAGGAACUGUGGUCCUCCAGCUGAUGGACAGUGCCUCAGAAAUAUUUAGAUACGAAUGGUUAAAGAACAAAACAUCAAUACUCAGAGGGGGUAAGAACAGGGCAGUGUUUAUUCUGAUACCAGACAGAUCUUCAUUUACUCCCACUGAUGGAACAUUUAGGAUCAACAACCUGAGCAGGACUGAUGGAGGUGAAUAUACUCUCAUGAUCUCUGAUUCAAAUGGAAGCAUAUCAGUGCCACAGACUCUACAGUUGAUCAUUCAAGGUAAAAAAUAAUUUUGUCUACAGGGAAAUUUACUAAUAUUCAAAGAAAUACAUGUUAUAUUUUAUUGCCAAAACUAUAUAUAUCUACUGUAUAUAAUGACAAAGAUU
rnacentral:lncRNA from 15 species